GCGUCCGAUUAGUUAGUUGGUGAGGUAACGGCUCACCAAGACGAUGAUCGGUAGCUGGUCUGAGAGGAUGAUCAGUCACACGGGAACUGAGACACGGUCCCGACUCCUACGGGGGGCAGCAGUGAGGAAUAUUGCACAAUGGACGCAAGUCUGAUGCAGCAACGCCGCGUGGAGGAUGAAGGUCUUUGGAUCGUAAACUCCUUUUCUCAGGGAAGAGAAUGGACGGUACCUGAGGAAUAAGUCACGGCUAACUACGUGCCAGCAGCCGCGGUAAUACGUAGGUGGCAAGCGUUAUCCGGAAUUACUGGGGCGUAAAGCGCACGCAGGCGGUCUUUUAAGUUUGACGUGAAAGCUCCCGGCUUAACUGGGAGA
rnacentral:rRNA from 1 species